CCUACGGGAGGCAGCAGUGGGGAAUAUUGCACAAUGGGGGGAACCCUGAUGCAGCGACGCCGCGUGGGUGAAGGAGUAUUUCGGUAUGUAAAGCCCUAUCAGCAGGGAAGAACAAUGACGGUACCUGACUAAGAAGCACCGGCUAAAUACGUGCCAGCAGCCGCGGUAAUACGUAUGGUGCAAGCGUUAUCCGGAUUUACUGGGUGUAAAGGGAGCGCAGGCGGCGGGGUAAGCCUGGUGUGAAAGUCCGCGGCCCAACCGCGGGACUGCAUUGGGAACUGGCGCGCUGGAGUGCCGGAGGGGUAGGCGGAAUUCCUAGUGUAGCGGUGAAAUGCGUAGAUAUUAGGAGGAACACCAGUGGCGAAGGCGGCCUACUGGACGGUGACUGACGCUGAGGCUCGAAAGCGUGGGGAGCAAACAGGAUUAGAUACCCGAGUAGUC
rnacentral:rRNA from 1 species